rnacentral:tRNA from 1 species
GGGGAUAUAGCUCAGUGGUAGAGCACUUGCCUAGCAAGCGCAAGGCCCUGGGUUCGGUCCCCAGCUCCG